rnacentral:rRNA from 1 species
UUAGAGUUUGAUCCUGGCUCAGAGCGAACGUUAGCGGCGCGCCUAACACAUGCAAAUCGCACGAGAGUGGAGCAAUCCAUGAAAGUGGCGCACGGGUGCGUAACACGUAGAUAACCUGCCCUAAGGAGGGGGAUAACGUUCCGAAAGGAGCGCUAAUACCGCAUAACACAGCGUUCGGUUCGCCGAAUGCGGGCAAAGGCUGGGACCGGCAACGGCCAGUCGCCAUAGGAGGGGUCUGCGGCCCAUCAGCUAGUUGGUAAGGUAAUGGCUUACCAAGGCAGAGACGGGUAGCUGGUCUGAGAGGAUGAUCAGCCACACUGGUACUGGAACACGGACCAGACUCCUACGGGAGGCAGCAGUGGGGAAUCUUGGUCAAUGGGCGCAAGCCUGAACCAGCGACGCCGCGUGAGUGAUGAAGGCCUUCGGGUUGUAAAGCUCUGUGGGGAGGGACGAAAGAGCUCAGUCGAAUAGGCUGAGUGUUGACGGUACCUCCUUAGC